AGCGAACGUUUGCGGCGGGCUUAACACAUGCAAGUCGAACGGGCUGUUCCUUCGGGGGCAGUCAGUGGCGCACGGGUGCGUAACACGUAGGUAAUCAACCCUCUGGUUGGGGAUAACACUUCGAAAGGAGUGCUAAUACCCGGUAUGGCGCAGCGGUCUUCGGAUCGCGGCGAGAAAGACCCGCAAGGGUUGCCAGAGGACGAGCCUGCGGCCCAUCAGCUAGUUGGCGAGGUAACGGCUCACCGAGGCGAAGACGGGUAGCUGGUCUGAGAGGAUGAUCAGCCACACUGGAACUGAGACACGGUCCAGACUCCUACGGGAGGCAGCAGUGGGGAAUAUUGCGCAAUGGGCGAAAGCCUGACGCAGCCACGCCGCGUGAGCGAUGAAGGCCUC
rnacentral:rRNA from 1 species